rnacentral:lncRNA from 1 species
UGGGGGUUGUGUGGCCAUUGAUCAUCGACCAGAGGCUCAUACACCUCACUACACAUAUGUUUCCUUGCCAUAGAUCACAUUCUUGGAUUUAUGGUGGAGACCAUUUCUUGGUCAAAAAUCCGUAGGUGUUAGCCUUCAGUGUCAUUGAAAAUGGUCGUUCAUGGCUAUUUUCGACAAAAAAUAGGGUUGUGUGGCCAUUGAUCGUCGACCAGAGGCUCAUACACCUCACCCCACAUAUGUUUCCUUGCCGUAGAUCACAUUUUUGGAUUUCUGGUGGAGACCAUUUCUUGGUCAAAAAUCCGUAGGUGUUAGCCUUCGGUAUUAUUGAAAAUGGUCGUUCAUGGCUAUUUCGACAAAAAAUGGGGGUUGUGUGGCCAUUGAUCAUCGACCAGAGGCUCAUACACCUCACCCCACAUAUGUUUCCUUGCCAUAGAUCACAUUCUUGGAUUUCUGGUGGAGACCAUUUCUUGGUCAAAAAUCCGUAGGUGUUAGCCUCUAGUAUUAUUGAAAAUGGUCGCUCAUGGCUAUUUUCAUAAAAAAUGGGGGUUGUGUGGCCAUUUAUCAUCGACUAGAGGCUCAUAAACCUCACCCCACAUAUGUUUCCUUGCCAUAGAUCACAUUCUUGGAUUUCUGGUGGAGACCAUUUCUUGGUCAAAAAUCCGUAGUGUUAGCCUUCGCUAUUAUUGAAAAUGGUCGUUCAUGGCUAUUUUCGACAAAAAUGGGGGUUGUGUGGCCAUUGAUCAUCGACCAGAGGCUCAACACCUCACCCCACAUAUGUUUCCUUGCCAUAGAUCACAUUCUUGGAUUUCUGUGGAGACCAUUUCUUGGCAAAAAUCCGAUGUGUUAGCCUUUGGUAUUUUGAAAAUGGUCAUUCAUGGCUAUUUUCACAAAAAUGGGUUGUGUGGCCAUUGAUCUUCGACCAGAGGCUCAUACACCUCACACACAUAUGUUUCCUUGCCAUAGAUCACAUUCUUGGAUUUAUGGUGGAGACCAUUUCUUGGUCAAAAAUCCGUAGUGUUAGCCUCAGUGUAUUGAAAAUGGUCGUUCAUGGCUAUUUUCGACAAAAAUAGGGUUGGUGGCCAUUGAUCGUCGAUCAGAGGCUCAUACACCUCACCCCACAUAUGUUUCCUUGCCAUAGAUCAAUUCUUGAUUUCUGGUGGAGACCAUUUCUUGGUCAAAAAUCCGUAGGUGUUAGCCUCUAGUAUUAUUGAAAAUGGUCGCUCAUGGCUAUUUUCAUAAAAAAUGGGGGUUGUGUGGCCAUUUAUCAUCGACUAGAGGCUCAUAAACCUCACCCCACAUAUGUUUCCUUGCCAUAGAUCACAUUCUUGGAUUUCUGGUGGAGACCAUUUCUUGGUCAAAAAUCCGUAGGUGUUAGCC